AGCUAACUCACAAAAUUCUGCCACGUGGUAUCACCGGCAACAACGGCACCGCACGUGUCCGCCACGCCAAGGACCCUGGAAGGUCACACCAGAAAGUGAGCC